rnacentral:lncRNA from 1 species
GCUGCCUGCUUCCGCCGCUUUAGUGCACGCUCGGGCUUCCUGGUGCGCCCGGAGCCUGCCUCGCGUGCCGACCCCGCCGCGUAAUCCGGCGAGGAAUCCCAGAUUCCGCCCGGCUCCCGACGCCCUCACCGACUUUAGUUCGAGCAGACUCAUUUGGAAGCAGUGCAUUUUUAUCAGAGGUACUGAAAAGCCUUUCGAGAAUCAGUCAAGAAAAAGGAAUGCGCAUGAGAGUCACGGUCAAAUCAUGUGAUUGUAGGGAAAGCCUAGGCUAUCAUGGAGGGAAGAGAUUGGAUAAAUUAUUUGAAAAGUAAGCCUGUGAAUUGCUGUGGAGGAACAAUAGCCUGCCUCUUAUCUGGAGCCUUUCCAAGGAAAAGCAAAGGGGACCCUAGAAGGCCUCCUGGGAGACAGUUUAAUUCUGAAAACAAAGCAGUACUUCACCUCUUGUGUGUUGGGUAGAGCUGUAAAACAGAACACAGUCAAAAUAGUCAUUAGGGCCACAUCAAUGUCUGCCCAAAGUCAGGCGAGCAUUCCCAGGAGGCUGGGGGGCUAUGGCAGUUGCACACCGUCAACCUCCUUUCUCCAUUGUCACACAGCAGAAGAGCGUGUUCCAUUCCACUAAAGUUGCGGGCGGGGGUUGAAUAAUUUAUUGACUGAAAACUGGGGGCCUGAGUUAGAUGGUAAACAAGUUUAGAGUACUGUUUUUUGUUUUUUAAGUUAUGUUUGUUUUAUGUAUUGAAGUGCUUAAAAUGUAUUUUAAAAAUUCACAACACCCCAGAAAUUCAGGAACUUGAGGAGACAAUAGUGACAAACAUUUAAUGGCAACAUUUGGACACUUUAAAGAUUAUUUCAGGAACUUUAAUGCUGAUAAAUGAGAGAAGCGACAACUUUUCCUAACUAUAACAUUUCGGCACCUGAGUACAGAGAUCAAAACAAGAGCGAGCAUUUCGAAUUCAUAUUGUGAAGCACGUACAAAAAGAUUACUCUGUUAGCCUUCACAAUGUGGAGAGUUCAUCUUUUCAUCUUAUCAAAUAAAAAAUACCCAAAUUCUUGAACAGGCAUUCAGUUAGGAAAAGAGGGUGGGGUGAUGAAAUGUGUUCUCAUUCAGCAAACACUUUGCAGAUAUUUCUAGUCAAAAAUCCCUGUGGUCUAGGCUAGUGAGAGAAAAACGUGCCCUCUGCCCAGUGACAGCGGCUUCACGGGGAUCAGCUUUCACCAAUGCAGGCAGGGGAACAAAGGGCAGGCUUCAUCUGCCUGCAUCCCACAGGCCCUUGCGCAGGGGAGUUCCAUUUCAGUGCCCAUCACAUGACCUCUCAGGCCAAAACGCUUUUUAAUAAUUCUGAUUUUGAAUAUCAAAUGGAAGUGAAAAGUACAUUUAGGAAGGAAGGGCUCUAUCCUUAUUGAAGAACGUGCUCUAUGCAAACAGGUUGGGUAAGCACCAGCUCUUGUAGAGCUGUGGUUCUCAGCUUUGGCAACACACUGGAUAACCUCCUCUAAAAGGUACUGAUGCCUGCUUUCCUCCCUCCUCUGCCCCUAAAGAAAGUAGAAUUUAAUUUUAAGCUCUAGGGUGUGGCCUGGGCAUCAGGACUUUUUUUUUUUUUUUUUUUUUUUUUUUUGACAGAGUCUCACUGUGUCACCCAGGCUAGAGUGCAGUGUGCAGUCUUGGCUCACUGCAGCCUCGAUCUCCCAGGUUCAAGAGAUUCUCCUGCCUCAGCCCCCUAAGUAGCUAGGAUUACAGGCACGCACCACCACACCAGGCUAAUUUUUGUGUUUUUUGUAGAGACGGUCUUUCACCGUGUUGCCCAGGCUGGUCUUGAACUCCUGAGCUCAGGUGAUCCACCUGCCUCAGUCUCCCAAAGUGCUGGGAUUACAGGCAUAAGCCACAGCCCCUGGCUGGCAUCAGGAUUUUUAAAAGCUCCCCAAGUGCAGUCAAGGUUGAGAACAGCUGCUAUAGUGUGAUUUAAUACAGCAUUCAAAGCCUCUCAUAAUCUAGCCUCAGCCUAAUUUUUCCUUCCCCCACCCUAUCUCAGCCUGUACAUAAGCCACAGAGACAUUCUCACUGUUCUCUGAAUGUACUUGGCUCAUUCAUAUUUCCAGGCUUUCUUGCACACACAUUGUCUGACUCUGGGCACCUAAGGAAAGCUCAGCUCCAAUGUCCUCUCCUCUUCCGUGAAACCUUUCCCGUCAAUCCCACCUUCACUACUAAGUCACUCCUUGCUCGUUGAUCAGAUGGAAGAAUGCUUUGUGCAUAUCUCUACUGGAGCCCUUCUCACUUUACAUUAAAGAUAACUGUAUAUAGGUCAGCCCACUCCUCCUCCCUAAUAGCAUGUGGACCCUUUGUAGUUUCAGCAGUAAGCACAGGGCUUGGUUUCUAUGAAUACUUAUUGAGUGAAUGGAUGAAUGAAUGCCAAUCUUGUACAUUGUUGAUGUUCACCACAUUGAACCCAGUUCUCAAACCAGGAUCACUUGGGAGAUUCUGAGUCAGUAAUUUGAAGGUCUGUAUCAUUCCUACUCAAAGUGUGGUCCAUAAGCCAGCAGUGGCUAUAUUAUCUGGGAGCUUGUUGCAAAUGCAGAAUAUGUAUUUUAACAAGAUCCCCAGGCAAUUCACAUGCACAUUACACUUUCAGCUAUAUUUUUAACAAGCUCCCAGGUGAUUCCUUUGUAGCCCGGCUGAUGACCCGCAUUUCAUAACCACUGUUCUAGACCUUCAUUUGCUGAAUGGAGUGGUCCCUGUGUGAUUGCCUACAGGUUUCUUCUAGUCUCCCAUUUUUCUUCCUAGUUAACAAAGCCCAAAUUUUGUUUGGAAGGGUGAUCAGCCCUUCACCCACCAGGCCUUUGCCUCAGGGAAGCUUGACCCCACCUUUAGACCCCAUAUUGGGCCUGAGUAGUCCAAAGACAUAUCCCAUUCCCCUGGCCAGGGAUUAGUUUAGGGAUAGACAUGUGACCAAAUUCAGCUCAAAAAAUGUGAGUCUGCAGGGGCAAUCUAGAAAAAGUGUCCUCUUUCCUAAGAGAAAGCCACAGGAGGGGAAAAAAAUGUCUCAGGACAUUGUCCUGCCUAAACAUGAUGCCUUGGACAUUCUGCUUCUGUCUUGCUACCUGCAACACAAGGAAAUCCAACACUGAGGGAUCAGAGCAGAGGGACGGAAAGCACCUGGAUCUUACGACAUUGUUGAGCUCUUUUGUCUCUUGACUUCUAGUUAUGAGAUGUAAUUUUCUUACUGUUAAAGUCAUUUAUGUUCCUUGCAACCAAAAGCAUUCAUUGAUACACUGAAUAUAGUAUAAUAUUUAUUCAAUCAAUAAAUGCCUGGCAAAUUACCCAA